GAUGAACGCUAGCGGCAGGCCUAAUACAUGCAAGUCGGACGGGAUUUUGGAGCUUGCUUCAAAUGAGAGUGGCGCACGGGUGCGUAACACGUAUGUAACCUACCUUGUUCAGGGGGAUAGCCUCUCGAAAGAGAGAUUAAGACCGCAUAACAUUAAGAUGUGGCAUCACAAUUUAAUCAAAUAUCUAUAGGAACAAGAUGGGCAUGCGGAACAUUAGCUAGUUGGUGAGGUAACGGCUCACCAAGGCUAAGAUGUUUAGGGGAUCGGAGAGGAUGACCCCCCACACUGGUACUGAGACACGGACCAGACUCCUACGGGAGGAAGCAGUAAGGAAUAUUGGUCAAUGGACGGAAGUCUGAACCAGCCAUGCCGCGUGCAGGAAGACGGCCCUAUGGGUUGUAAACUGCUUUUGCAGGGGAAUAAACCUCAUUACGUGUAAUGAGCUGAAUGUACUCUGAGAAUAAGGAUCGGCUAACUCCGUGCCAGCCGCCGCUGUAACAC
rnacentral:rRNA from 1 species